rnacentral:rRNA from 1 species
GAUCAUGGCUCAGGAUGAACGCUGGCGGCGUGCUUAACACAUGCAAGUCGAACGAAGCACUUAAGAAUGAUUCUUCGGAUAAAUUUUUUUGUGACUUAGUGGCGGACGGGUGAGUAACGCGUGGGUAACCUGCCUCACACAGGGGGAUAACAGUUGGAAACGACCGCUAAUACCGCAUAACCCGCUAGGGCCGCAUGGCCUGGACGGAAAAGAUUUAUCGGUGUGAGAUGGACCCGCGUUGGAUUAG